ACAUACAUACAUACAUAUGUAUGCACCGGUUCUCAUCCGAUCACCGUAGUUAAGCAACGUCGAGUCUAGUAAGUACUUAGAUGGGUGACCGCUUGGGAAACCUAAGUGGUGUAAGCA
rnacentral:rRNA from 1 species